CUACGGCCAUAUCACGUCCAAACACCGAUUCCUGUACGAUCACCAAAGUUAAACAACGUCGAGCCUGGUCAGUACCUAGAUGGGUGACCAGGUCCUGUCAGCUUGGAUGUGCAGGUGGUGU